UACGAGGGGGGCAAAUGUUGUUCGGAAUCACUGGGCGUAAAGGGCGCGUAGGCGGGUGUUUAAGUUAGGUGUUUAAUCCCGGGGCCCAACCCCGGACUUGCACCUAAAACUGGGCAUCUUGAAUAGGGGAGAGGUCGGUGGAAUUGGAGGUGUAGCGGUGGAAUGCGUAGAGAUCUCCAAGAACACCAGUUGCGAAGGCGGCCGACUGGACCCAUAUUGACGCUGAGGCUCGAAAGCAUGGGGAGCAAACAGG
rnacentral:rRNA from 1 species